UACAGAGGGUGCGAGCGUUAAUCGGAAUUACUGGGCGUAAAGCGUGCGUAGACGGUUAUUUAAGUCGGAUGUGAAAGCCCCGGGCUCAACCUGGGAAUUGCAUUCGAGACUGAAUAGCUAGGGUACGGUAGAGGGAAGUGGAAUUUCCGGUGUAGCGGUGAAAUGCGUAGAUAUCGGAAGGAACAUCAGUGGCGAAAGCGACUUCCUGGACCAGUACCGACGUUCAGGCACGAAAGCGUGGGGAGCGAACAGG
rnacentral:rRNA from 1 species